ACAAACGCUGGCGGCGUGGAUAAGACAUGCAAGUCGAACGAGAGAAUUGCUAGCUUGCUAAUAAUUCUCUAGUGGCGCACGGGUGAGUAACACGUGAGUAACCUGCCCCCGAGAGCGGGAUAGCCCUGGGAAACUGGGAUUAAUACCGCAUAGUAUCGAAAGAUUAAAGCAGCAAUGCGCUUGGGGAUGGGCUCGCGGCCUAUUAGUUAGUUGGUGAGGUAACGGCUCACCAAGGCGAUGACGGGUAGCCGGUCUGAGAGGAUGUCCGGCCACACUGGAACUGAGACACGGUCCAGACACCUACGGGUGGCAGCAGUCGAGAAUCAUUCACAAUGGGGGAAACCCUGAUGGUGCGACGCCGCGUGGGGGAAUGAAGGUCUUCGGAUUGUAAACCCCUGUCAUGUGGGAGCAAAUUAAAAAGAUAGUACCACAAGAGGAAGAGACGGCUAACUCUGUGCCAGCAGCCGCGGUAAUACAGAGGUCUCAAGCGUUGUUCGGAAUCACUGGGCGUAAAGCGUGCGUAGGCUGUUUCGUAAGUCGUGUGUGAAAGGCGCGGGCUCAACCCGCGGACGGCACAUGAUACUGCGAGACUAGAGUAAUGGAGGGGGAACCGGAAUUCUCGGUGUAGCAGUGAAAUGCGUAGAUAUCGAGAGGAACACUCGUGGCGAAGGCGGGUUCCUGGACAUUAACUGACGCUGAGGCACGAAGGCCAGGGGAGCGAAAGGGAUUAGAUACCCCUGUAGUCCUGGCAGUAAACGGUGCACGCUUGGUGUGCGGGGAAUCGACCCCCUGCGUGCCGGAGCUAACGCGUUAAGCGUGCCGCCUGGGGAGUACGGUCGCAAGAUUAAAACUCAAAGAAAUUGACGGGGACCCGCACAAGCGGUGGAGUAUGUGGCUUAAUUCGAUGCAACGCGAAGAACCUUACCUGGGCUUGACAUGUAAUGAACAACAUGUGAAAGCAUGCGACUCUUCGGAGGCGUUACACAGGUGCUGCAUGGCCGUCGUCAGCUCGUGUCGUGAGAUGUUUGGUUAAGUCCAGCAACGAGCGCAACCCCUGUUGCCAGUUACCAGCACGUGAAGGUGGGGACUCUGGCGAGACUGCCCAGAUCAACUGGGAGGAAGGUGGGGACGACGUCAGGUCAGUAUGGCCCUUAUGCCCAGGGCUGCACACGUACUACAAUGCCCAGUACAGAGGGGGCCGAAGCCGCGAGGCGGAGGAAAUCCUAAAAACUGGGCCCAGUUCGGACUGUAGGCUGCAACCCGCCUACACGAAGCCGGAAUCGCUAGUAAUGGCGCAUCAGCUACGGCGCCGUGAAUACGUUCCCGGGUCUUGUACACACCGCCCGUCACAUCAUGGAAGCCGGUCGCACCCGAAGUAUCUGAAGCCAACCGCAAGGAGGCAGGGUCCUAAGGUGAGACUGGUAACUGGGAUG
rnacentral:rRNA from 1 species